UGUGCAGGUUGAUUUAAUGGUAGAUCUAGAUACUGAGCAAGGUUUUAACUUAAUGAGAUUGAUGGACCUGUGCAAAGGAGAAGAACUUCACAGCAGCCAAGGUUUGCCAGGCAGGGUAAUUCAUUUAGCAUUCAUUACCAAAUUUGCCUCACAGUAACAUUAAAAUAUCAAGUGUUAAAAAAAAUUGAGAAUUUAAAGUAAGAAUCUAUCUGAAAAGAUUAAGGAACACCAAGAGCAUUUUUUUGGAAAGCGUCUUUCAAACAGCCAAGAGAGCGACACAGAAAGGUGAAUUAGCUUAAAAAGGAGUUAGCAACAGAGCAAAAUGUGAAAAUGCUAUUGUGGCUAGAAAAUUCUUAGCCAUCAGGCAAAAGUUACCUGCGAUAUUUCCAGGUGCUUCCAACCUUCUGGUGAUUUGAUCUGGUUUGGCUUGAGGGAAGGAACCUUCAUCCCCAUGGGAACUCCAUUGUCUUGGCAACCAGCAAAGGGACUUUCAGUUGUCAUGGCAACAAAGGAGCACCAAGUCCUAGCAGCUGUCCCCACCCUUCAGUCUGGUAAUAAAAGCUUUCAAAACCACCACAGGUGUUUCCUGGAUGUGGAGGAAACUGGAUGUGAAGGCAAUCUGGGAUGCUAGGGAUCUUGCUCUUGCAAAUCAUUUAACAUAGAAACUUUCCACCAGCUGUGUGAGCCAGUGCCAAGGUGUGGAGGUUGCCCUCAGCUGCUGUGGUGGCCGCAAUCCUUGUACAAAAGAAUAGCCGGUAACCAAUUCCACACCUUGAUAACCAAGGCUGCCUCCUCUCCUGUUGCAUCAUGGAUUCCGCCUCUUUCCGGUCUGAACAAUCAUUACGUUCUGAUCAGCUCCCAUCCAGAGGCGCAGAUCCCAGGGAGCUGGCUCAGCUCCACCCAAAAGACGCAGCCAGGAGACUUGGGAAGGAGCCAGACAAAAGUAGCCAAGAACCACAGGGCCUGAUGAGGCUCCGCCAUCCCCUGAGAGCACUGGCCGAGUUAAGAGCAGAUGUCCAUUGUCAGUGUCUGAGGUCUUCUGCACCCCCAGUCGAAACGUACUAUACUCAACUCAACUGGCCACAAGGAGUGCUACAGAGGUGGGCAAAGGAGAAGGAGGACAGGGAGAGAAAUCUUUGCCUGGAUGACUGCCAAGACGCAGCCGUCAGGAGAAGCAACACAUUGGACGAAGCCCCUGGGGAACAGCCGUCGGGGUAUGGAGAGUUGGAGGCUAAGGAAAGCGACUCCUGAAGUACCUAGCACUGAAAUGAAACCCCAACGCAGGUGCUUGGACAAGAAACUAUCGUGAUAAUAUUGCCUGGUGUGGCAAGUGCAUAGUAAAGAAUUUUCUGGUUUCUGUA